GAAGCAACGUUCUCCGUUAGAGGGGCCCAUAUAUCGUUUGGAACCGACGGCCAUUUUGUGGUUAUCCAAGAGCCCGGUCAGUCGACGCCGGUGUCGUUAUUUCUCCGUGACAGCGGCUCACUGUGUGCGAAUAACUACAUACCCUGAUAACGUGAGAAGAGGCGCAAAGCUCGAGAUAUAAUUUUGUUGACGGUAAAAUGGCGGAUCUACAGGGAACACCGGUUAGCCAGGACGCCCUAUCCGUUGGACAACUGGAGCUGGGGAAUAAUCCAAACGCACUGGCGUUACGCAGGCCUUUCGAUCCAGUUGCACAUGAUCUUGAUGCCACUUUCCGUCUGACGCGUUUUGCUGAUUUAAAAGGAUGAGGGUGUAAAGUCCCUCAGGAGGUACUUGGUAAACUCCUUGAGGGACUACAAGCUGAUGAUGGUAGUGCACAGGAUCAUGAGCAUGCACACUUCAUGCACAUGGCCAUUCCCAGAAUUGGGAUUGGUAUGGACUCUUCAGUAACGCCACUCCGACAUGGUGGCCUUAGCUUGGUGCAGACAACAGACUUCUUUUAUCCUCUAGUCGAUGAUCCUUACAUGAU